rnacentral:miRNA from 1 species
AAGGACCUCUGCUAAGACUAU